rnacentral:rRNA from 1 species
UACGUAGGUGGCAAGCGAUGUCCGGAAUUACUGGGUGUAAAGGGCGUGUAGGCGGGUAUGCAAGUCAGAUGUGACAUUCCUCUGCUCAACGGGGGCGCUGCAUCAGAAACUGUAUAUCUUGAGUGCUGGAGAGGAAAGCGGAAGUCCUAGUGUAGCGGUGAAAUGCGUAGAUAUUAGGAGGAACACCAGUGGCGAAGGCGGCUGUCUGGACAGUAAAGGACGCUGAGGCGCUAAAGCGUGGGGAGCAAACAGG